GGCGGCGACCACGAGUUACCUGCCCCUAUACAAUGAGUUAAUUGCCCCUGUAUUUCAUCUGUUAAGUUGUACUUAAAAUAGGCUUACUCUUGCGCAAAAAAAGAUAGAAAAUAUCAAAUAUGGGAAAGCGGGACGAUAGACCAAACAUAUCUACGAAGAGACCGUUGGUGCCGGAAAUAUCUCUGUCUUUAGUAGUGUCCGCGAGGUAUAUUAAUAUAUAAAACAUGAGAUAUUAGUACCAUAUUGCCCGGGAAUCAAAAGAUUUUUGCAAGAUCGGUAAGUAUAUUCAAUAUAGGCUAAACAAGCACAAGGCCAGGGCACGUGGUAAGUCAUUCCGCAGCGCAGGAAUGACCAAAACUAGCCUACUGCGGUACCACUUACAGAAAUUACCAAAAAAUGACAAAAAUUACCGAGAGAGGAGCUAAAAUGACCUCAGUAAUACAUGACAUCUACUAUCAUAUUCACAUUAAAAAUUUUGGUCCCUCCUUUGACGACUUCAAUAAUUUUUAAUUUCGGUCAUAUCUUUGGUAUUUUCUGUGAACGUUUGUAAUUUCGGACAUUAUAUGUAACAAUCCUACUAUUCAUUCCACAAUGAAGGCCAGUGGGCCUAGAUUUUUAAUUUGAUACACGUAUAAACUUAACACUGCGCAAGUUACGUCACGGAAUGCAGUAUAGGGGAGGAGAAAAUAUUUGGCUGGACCAGGAGUCGAACCUAGGAUCCCUGCAUUACUAGUCAGGUGCUCUAACCACUGAGCUAUCCAGGUCGAUAUCCACGGUCCGUGUAGCCCUAACUACUAAAUUCCUCCCUUUAAUUUGUCUUUGCCGUCGAAGACACACAACCCAGAUUCAUUUCACCCCUGGCAGGACAAGAGUAGUCACGGCACCAACUGGUAAAAUCUUGCACAGAGGUCCCUAGGUUCAAUUCCCGAUCCAGCCACAAAUUUUCUCCGUGUAUGUCUAUCUGAGACUGAGUUGGAAAAUUACGGUAUCUUCAUAGUGACAAACUAAUGAAAAUAUUGAUCAAAUUCGACUGGUCAAGGACUGUUAAUAUAAAUAAAUUUGAAACAUUGGUCAUUGUAAUGAUUGGUUUCAUGUUAUACUAAGCUUGUGUUUCAAGACAAGGCUGUCUUUGUUGAUGAUGAUACUGAUGUAUAUAUUUAGAAACAAGUAAUGCUUUGAUUUUGAUUACAGGUGUGGUCUUUAAAAAAAUUAAUGCAUGGCAAGGUUGAUAGUGAGACUAAUAAAUUCUUUCAGCAGAAUUCAGCUAGACACAAAAAAAAAGACGAUCACUACAGCCUUCCAAGAAGAUGGACUGCCUCACAAUAGUUUCCUUGAGGACUGUCUUGAAAUAUCCAGAGUUUAAGAUUCAAGAAACGGACUCUAUCUGGAAAAGGAAAACAAUAUCAAAGCUCCUCUGUGAGAAGUUGGCCAAGGAAAGCAUUCAGAAGAAAGUGGAGAUUCAUUGUUUUUACCAGAUCCAGCAGAUCACAGAAAGCAUCUAGUAGGGGAGGUCUACAGAUCGAAGCAUGCCAAACGUGUAAAGAACAAGUUUCCAGGAUUAAGCCAGCCAGUAGAUGAGACUAUUAUAUCAAAAAUACAUUUACUUGUACACGAGGGCACACAAAGCGUUGAUGAAACAAAAAGACAUUUCCGUCUGUUUGUAAAGGAUACUAUUUCACCAGGGAACACCAUCUCAGAAUUUAACAGAUGCUUUUACCCCGCCAAUAAGGAUGUAAGAAAUCACAUUUACAGGGCACCGAGAUUUUGCCAGGUAGUUUAGAACUGUGUGCAUUGGUUUUGGAAGAAUUUGGGCUGUUUAGGCUAAAAUCCAUUAUGAUUGGACAGAAUAUGAACACACACAUCCAAUACUUCAAAGAUAUUAUGUUUGUGGAGGCAGAGAUUUUGAUUGCAUCCACUGUUUAGAAUACAUCCUUAAGGGAAGCAGACUGCCGCCUUUACCCAAUGAUAUAAUGAUUAAUCAUAACUAUAUCUGUUUUGUACCAAAUAGAAAGAGCAUUGAUUCAGGUCAUUUUCAAAUCCACUGGCAUACAUUGUACUAUACAUGCAACCUUUUCAAACUUUACAUUUAAGAUUUUAUAAAGGAAAUAUCUUAAUGUUUCACAUGUUUACCUUUCACUGUGCUAUGUAAUACGCAAGAUCGCGACUACUUUUUCUGUCUUGGUUUUAAAUUUUACUUUCCCCUUUCAAAGUCUCGCGAGACCCAGAGUUUGCGAGAAUUUGGGCAUGUUGGUAAAUAAUACCAGUUCUGCAACUUUUGUUGUGAUCGAUUCGCCCGAUUUUAACAAUGGUGUACUGUCAUUGCAUUGCAGUAGACUGUAGUUAAUGAUUCAAGAAAGAAACAUAAUACGCAGAAAUAUCCACAACUGAUAGAUUUUAAUGGAAAUGUGGUGGAUUUUUCCCCACUGCUGUCAGCCAGGAAAUUCCCAAAGCUGAGAAGAGCUUGUGUCAAAAUAUAUAGCUUCGCGAGCUAAAUUCAGAAGUUCAUUUUUCCUGUAUCCAGACGCUUUUACACACCUUUCAUCUAAAAAUGCUUUUAAUUGUGGAAAGCACGUGGAAGUUAAAUCGUCUUCCGAUGCCAUGUUUUGAAUAAACAAAAAAUGCCCAAGAUCGACACGCUUUUCCGGACUUCUUUACAAGAGAGUUCCGCUAACUUGGUAUUUACGAUCUUGCGUAUUCAUUAUACCUGCCAUUAUGCCAGUCUUCCUGAACAUAAUUUGUUUUCUGCAAUUCCAUUGGCCAAGAGGCUUAAUCCUGGGUUAUCAGAUUGAGCAUUUAUAUUUAGUAUCCCAUUGAUUUUGUCAGCCCUAUAUAAGGAGGUGACUCAGAUUUACUCACUCUGCUAGGUUAAAGAACUCUAAGGUUUGUACUUUUCACAUGAAUUUCGUGUUCGCCUCUUAUCUUUUACAUAGAGUAGGAAAUGAACAUAACAUUGAGUUAGGGAACUAUUUAGAUUUUACAUUAUAAUAUGUAAAUACCUUAGCAGAGUCAAUUUACUUGGUUCAGGGUAGUAUCAGAUAUUACUUUUUCAGAGUUUAAGUGUUUAGACUAUCUCAAUGUUUCUAUAGUUAGCCUUGUCCUAUGUUACUUUUAGAUGUAUGGAAGCCUUUUAGUGUUAUAACACUAUAUUUAUGCCCCCAUUCAAAGAAGAGGGGCAUAUUGGUUUGCACCUGUUGGUCGGUCGGUAGACCACAUGUUGUCCGCUUAAUAUCUUAAGAACCAUUCACUUGAUCGUAAUAUAUUUCAUAUGUGGGUUGGUUAUGAAAAGAAGGGGACCCCAAUUGUUUUUUAGGUCGAAAUGUCAAGGGUCAAUCUACUCUGGACAUAGGAAGACACUGCCUGCUCAAUAUCUUGAGAACCCUUUGCUUGACAGACAUCAAACUUGGUACACUGGUACAUCUCAAGGAGUAGAUUUGAGGUCAUAUGGUCAAAAGUCAAGGGGUAAACUGGACAUAGUAAUAUAUUGUCUCUUAUGUUUUAAGAAUUAUUUGCUUGAUUGACACCAAACCUGGUACAGCAUAAGGAGUAGAUGACCCCUAUUGAUUUUUAGGUCACUUGGUCAAUCCACUCCUGACAUAGGAAGAUAUUGUUUGCUCAAUAUUUCGAAUUGAUGAUACUACUAUCAAUCAAAUUAUGCAUGUGUAUAACCCUUUUCAGUUUUGCACCAUGGGGGCUUAUAUGUUUUACAAACACCUCAUGUUUUAUAGUUUGUGAAAGCUUGUUAGGGUCAUAACUUUAGAUUUUCUUAUUAUGGUACUUGCCCGUCAGAGACUGGACAUAUUAUGGUAUGGUGCUGUCUGUCCGGACCUUGUAAGAUGGGAUACAGACUGAACCGUAAGCUCCAGAAUCUUACAACUUGGUACAUUUGAUCACCAUAAAAGGAAGAUGCUUAUUGUUUUUUAAGGUCAAGGUUGUAGGUUCACUUAAUAGGAAAACCUUGUUUGAGAAAAUUACAGAUUCUUGAACUGAGUAUUUUGAGGAAACAUUACAUAGAAAGUACAUGAUUUGUCAAAUUUCUCCCAAUAUUCAACUGAGAACCUUAUUCUGCAGAGUAUUUGUAUGGGUAUGGAAAAUGUGUAUGUGGCUAUGAUUUUGAUUUUUGUUUAAUUUUUUGAAAAUUACAGGUUUAACCAAGUCAGUUUUUGAGGAAAUAUACAUGUAUUAAAUAAAUGACGGUUUGACCUUUUAACUCCUCUCACAGUUUUGAAGCUAGGGUCUUUGUAAAUAACUUCUUUGGUGUUUUAGAAUAUUUACAGAUUGUUGAUCAUGGUCAAUUUUGGGGAAAUAUUUUCCGCAGAGCUCUAGUUGUCUAUCUACCGGCCUCCUGUCACUUUUAAGUUUAGGAGCUUUUAUUUAUGGAAAGAAAGUAUGUGACAGCCUGAUGAUGGCUGAUACUAUUUAAAGCCUUUUUAUACGCCCGUCUUAAGACGGGACGUAUUAUGGUAUGGCGUUCAUGUCCGUCCGUCUGUUAGCUUUUACGUGUCCGACCCGUAACUUAAAUACUACAAGGCCUAGAAUCAUCAAACUUUGUCUGUAGAUACAUCUUGGGUAGAAGGUGUGUCGCACAUUAAAACCAGGUCACUGUGACUUUUCAUUAAGAAGAUAUGGCCAUAUAUGGCAAAAACUUGUCCGGCUCAUAACUUGAAAACUAUUAGACCUAGAAUCACCAAAAUUGGUCAACUAAUGCAUCUUAGGUAGAAGGUGUGUCGCAUCCUACUUUAAGGUCACUGUGACAUUUAAUUAAGGUGAUAUAAAUAAAAAUGUUUUAAUGGGUACAAUCUAUACUGUUAACAAUAUGUGACGGGCGUAUCAUGUGCCGUGGUGGUGCACUUUAUUCUAGAAAUGGCAUCAAAAACACACCCUAUGUAACCUUUUCUGCUUGUACUCAUUUAUUUUUAUUGGAAAACUUAUUACUUGUUAUCAGCUACUCUAAAACAAUAUUGACUUGUGCUAUAAUAAAUUUGUAAACUU